GUGAAUCAUCGAAUCUUUGAACGCACAUUGCGCCCGCCAGUAUUCUGGCGGGCAUGCCUGUUCGAGCGUCAUUUCAACCCUCAAGCCUUCCCCGGCUUGGUGUUGGGGAAUCGGGCCCCGUCCUCGGGGGCCGGCCCCGCAAAUGCAGUGGCGGUCACGCCGCGGUGUCCUCUGCAGCGAGUAGCACAGCUCGCACUGGCACGCGGCGCGGCUGCGCCGUAAAGCAGCAGGCGCGCACCCCGCGCCUCCACGUCUAAGGUUGACCUCGGAUCAGGUAGGAAUACCCGCUGAACUUAAGCAUAUCAAUAAGCGGAGG
rnacentral:rRNA from 1 species